rnacentral:rRNA from 1 species
AGAGUUUGAUCCUGGCUCAGGAUGAACGCUAGCGGCAGGCCUAACACAUGCAAGUCGAGGGGUAAGGCUCUCUUCGGAGAGUACACGACCGGCGAACGGGUGCGUAACGCGUAUGCAACCUGCCUGUAUCUGGAACAUAGCCCCGAGAAAUCGGGAUUAAUUUUCCAUAAUAUCCUUUAGUGACAUCACUUUUGGAUUAAAGCUCCGGCGGGUACAGAUGGGCAUGCGUGACAUUAGCUUGUUGGUGCGGUAACGGCGCACCAAGGCCAAGAUGUCUAGGGGGUCUGAGAGGAUGAUCCCCCACACUGGUACUGAGACACGGACCAGACUCCUACGGGAGGCAGCAGUGAGGAAUAUUGCGCAAUGGAGGAAACUCUGACGCAGCCAUGCCGCGUGAAGGAUGACGGCCCUAUGGGUUGUAAACUUCUUUUCUGCUUCAAGAAACAGUCGUACGUGUACGGCUUUGACGGUAGAGCAGGAAUAAGCAUCGGCUAACUCCGUGCCAGCAGCCGCGGUAAUACGGAGGAUGCAAGCGUUAUCCGGAUUCAUUGGGUAUAAAGCGUGCGCAGGCGGGUGGGUAAGUCAGAGGUGAAAGCCCGCAGCUUAACUGUGGAAUUGCCUUUGAUACUGCUCACCUUGAGUUCAGCUGAGGUAGGCGGAAUGUAGUAUGUAGCGGUGAAAUGCUUAGAUAUACUACA